rnacentral:rRNA from 1 species
GGAGGCAGCAGUAGGGAAUCUUCCGCAAUGGGCGAAAGCCUGACGGAGCAACGCCGCGUGAGUGAUGAAGGUCUUCGGAUCGUAAAACUCUGUUAUUAGGGAAGAACAUAUGUGUAAGUAACUGUGCACAUCUUGACGGUACCUAAUCAGAAAGCCACGGCUAACUACGUGCCAGCAGCCGCGGUAAUACGUAGGUGGCAAGCGUUAUCCGGAAUUAUUGGGCGUAAAGCGCGCGUAGGCGGUUUUUUAAGUCUGAUGUGAAAGCCCACGGCUCAACCGUGGAGGGUCAUUGGAAACUGGAAAACUUGAGUGCAGAAGAGGAAAGUGGAAUUCCAUGUGUAGCGGUGAAAUGCGCAGAGAUAUGGAGGAACACCAGUGGCGAAGGCGACUUUCUGGUCUGUAACUGACGCUGAUGUGCGAAAGCGUGGGGAUCAAACAGGAUUAGAUACCCUGGUAGUCCACGCCGUAAACGAUGAGUGCUAAGUGUUAGGGGGUUUCCGCCCCUUAGUGCUGCAGCU